rnacentral:lncRNA from 1 species
AGACUUAGAAUUUAGAAGCCAGAUGGUUAUGACAAAGACAGGUAUUAACACAUGUAUUUGAGUUAGAACACAAAGUCAGUUUUGACCAAUCAGUUUAAUAGCGAAGACUGUGUUUGCCAAUUAAAUUAUACAAAGGAAGUUUUCCAUAAAAUGAAGAUGUAGCUCUAUAGUUUUGGCAAAUAUGUAUCUAAGGCAUACACAGAACAUCCACUGUUUCAGAUGGUGUAUUAAUUAUGACUGCUAAUCUUAUUGAAAAUUUACAUAUCAACUCAAAAAUGUGGGGUGGGGUACAUAAUUUUCAGAAUUUAUUAGCACAUUGACCAAAAACCUUAAGUCCUGUGAGUAAGAGGACCUGAAGAAAGAGAAAAGGAUCAGAAAAAGUGAGGGCAUAGGGAGAGAACCAGUAGAGAAGGCAGAUGAGAAUGCAGAAGUCAAGUAUGACGACAAAGAGGAGGGAUAACGAAAGUGCCAAACAUUGCAGAAAGGUCAAGGAGAAUGAUAAUUCGAUAGUAAUCUUUAUGAAUGCAGUUGCAGGUGGGAUAGAGUUAAGAGUCUGUUUAGAACAUUCAAAAAGGUGGGCAGUAAUGAUGAGAAAAAUAGAGUAUCAUUUACAAUACCAUCUGGCCAGAUCACUGGGGCUAAAAUGACUUAGACCAAAGAGCAACUCAAGAUACUGGACACUGAAGACCACUGAAAGCAGCCAUAUCUGGGAGGGGAGCAGAGGAAUGAAAUUGCUGCUUGGAUGAUAAUGCCAAGAAAUACAUAACAGAGGAGUAGGGGAGAAGACCACCUUAGGAUUGUUGCUCAUUGUAUCUUACGAGUUUUUAAAGUGUAGUUUUAUCUACACUUUAUUGCUUCCUUUACGGUUUCUAUGUUUUUCAAAUUUUUAACAAUGAAAAGGGAAUAAAGAGAUUUUGUUUCAAAAUAAGAAGUUAAAAAAAAGACAAAGAAGGUGAAAAUAAACUAUGUCCUCAACCUACGUCAGACUAAAAAGUCUCUGGACAGCUAAGAAAACUAUCAACAAAAUGAACAGGCAACCUGUGAAAUGGGAGAAAAUAUUUGCCAACCUCUUAUCUGUCAAGGAGUUAAUAUCUAAAAUAUGGAAGGAACUCAUACAACAAAAAGCCACAAAAACCACAAAAUUAAAAGUGGGCAAAAAGGGACACCUGGCUCAGUGGUUGAGCAUUUCCCUUGGGCUCGGGGCGUGAUCCUGGGGUCCGAGAUCAAGUCCCAUUGAGCCUGUUUCUCCCUCUGCCUAUGUGUCUGCCUCUCUCUCUCUGUGUCUCUCAUGAAUAAAUAUAUAAAAUCUUUAAAAUAAAUAAAUGAAAGAAAGAAAGAAAGAAUUUUAUUUAUUUUUUUUAAUUUUUAUUUAUUUAUGAUAGUCACACAGAGAGAGAGAGAGAGGCAGAGACAUAGGCAGAAGGAGAAGCAGGCUCCAUGCACCGGGAGCCCGAUGUGGGAUUCGAUCCCGGGUCUCCAGGAUCGCGCCCUGGGCCAAAGGCAGGCGCCAAACCGCUGCGCCACCCAGGGAUCCCAAGAAAGAAAGAAUUUUAAAAAAUGGGCAAGGAUUUUGAAUAGACAUUUUUCCAAAGACAACAUAUAAAUUGGCCAACAAGGACAUAAAAAGGUUCUCAACAUCAUUAAUUAUCAGGAAAUGCAAAAUGAAACCAGAAUGAGAUACCGCAUCAUACCUUUUAGAAUGUCUGCUUUCAGAAAGAUGAAAGCCACCAAAUGCAGGCCAGCAUAUGGGGAAAAGGAACCCUUGUGCACUCUUGAGGGAAAUGUAGAUACAGUUUAUGUAUAAAACAUGAUGGAGGUUCCUCAAGAAAUUACUAAUAGAAGUAUAACAUGACCCAGCAAUCCCACUUCUGGGUAUAUAUCCAAAGGAAACAAAAUCAUAACUACAGACGUACUGGUACUGCCAUGCUCUGCAGCAUGGUUCACCAUAGCCAAGGAACACCUUAAGUCUCCAUCAAUGGAGAAAGGAGAAUGGAUAAAGAAAAUGUAACCUGACAUACACAAAAUGGAAUACUAUUCAGUGAUAAAAAAAAUAAAAAGGAUAUCCUGCCAUUUGUGACAACAUGGAUGGACCCUGAGGCCAUUCUCCUAAGUGAAACGAGUCAGAAAGAGAAACACAAACACUGUAUGUUCUUACUUAUAUCUGGAAACAAAAAAACUGAACUCAUAGCAGAGACCAGAAUGGUGGCUGGGAGAUGGGCACAAAAUGGGUGAAGGAGGUCAAAAGGUACAAACUUUCUGCUAACAAGAUUAAAUAAGUCUUGGGGGUGUAAUGUACAGCAUGGUAACUAGAGUUAAUAAUCUUGUUCAUAUAUCUGAAAGUUGUUAAGAAGGUAGAUCUUAAAAUUCCUCAUCAAAAGAAAAAAAAUCUAAUGAUUUGAAGUGAUGGCAACUUAUCGUGUUAACCAUCCCAUGGUAUUUACAUGUGUCAAAUCAACAUGUUGUACACCUGAAAUGAAUACAGUGUUACAUCUCAAUCAUAUCUUGAUUUCUAAAAAAAUCUUUCAUUACCUGAUACUCAGAAAAUUGACUGCCUAUAUUUGCUAAUAUUAUCUUGUCUUAUUCUUGAAUUUAAGUCCUUCCCCCAUCUGGAGUAGACUGUCUGUAUACAGUGUGUGUUACCGCCUGAGCCACAUCCUCCCAAAAUUCAUGUGUUGAAGCCCUAACCCUCAGAACACGACUGUGCUUGGGACAUCGGGACAUGGCCGGAGGCAGCCGUCUGCAAGCCAAGGAGACAGGUCUCAGGAGAAACCAAGCCUGCCCACACCUUGAGCUUCGACUUCCGGACUCCAGAACUGUGAGAAAAAUUUCUGUCAUUGGAGCCCCUAAUCUGUGGAAUUUUGCUCCGGCAGCCCUGGAAAAGUCAUCCAGUGUGAGAGAGGGAUUUUGCUUCGUUUUGCUAU